UACGGAGGAUCCGAGCGUUAUCCGGAUUUAUUGGGUUUAAAGGGUGCGCAGGCGGAAGAUUAAGUCGGUGGUGAAAUUUUGCAGCUCAACUGUAAAAGUGCCAUUGAUACUGGUUUUCUUGAGUGUGGAUGAAGUAGGCGGAAUUUGUGGUGUAGCGGUGAAAUGCAUAGAUAUCACGAGGAACUCCGAUUGCGCAGGCAGCUUACUAAACCAUAACUGACGCUCAGGCACGAAGGCGUGGGGAGUCAAACAGGAUUAGAUA
rnacentral:rRNA from 1 species